GGAAACAGGUGAGUCCUAGGAUCUCGAUGUGCAAACUUAUAUGUUAUCAGUGGAUUUUGUUGCAUAUUUUGUUGUUGAUUUUGUUGAGUCUAUAUGUUAUUGGUUCUUUACUAAAGUAUUACUAGGAAAUCGUUAUGGAGGAUUACUAUAGAGAGUGUGAGCCUGUGGAGAUAAACCAUUGUUGCAAAUUAGGGAGUAGAGAAUGUUGGAUGGGUAACAGGGUUAAAAAGAACCUUAUGUUGUGGGGAUGUGGUGGAAUAGACAAUUAUGUGGAGAGUGGCAAUCAUUUGUUUCUCACGUAAAGUGGAUUGCUGAAAGUUGUGAUUUUGUGGAGCCAUUUACAAGGUUAAGCUGAAAGGAAAUUUUGAUGGUUCCUUGAGGUGGAAGGACUGUCUACAAAAUUAGAUGUCAACAUGCUAGCCUUCUUCAAGUUGAGGGUGCUAAUAGAAAGUACUUCUCUUGAGGCUAAUAGAGGGAUGAAUUCACUAAAAGAAAGUUAGGACUUGAUGAAAUAUGCACGAAUGCUGCUAUUUAGGUCACCAUAUUCGGCUUCGUGGAUGGAUUUUUGGCACUUAUAUGUUCAGCUGUAGUUUCCUCUGGUUGUUAGUUUACAUACAAGAUAUUUAACCAAACUUGUACUCGAUAUUCGGUUACGUAUUUUGUGUUCAUGAUUGCUAUUUACAUUACCUUGGUUUUCUUUUAAUGGCAUUCGUCUCUCAUUUAUCGUUGAUACUUCCUUCUAUUUUCCUUUUCUGAUUGAUUUAUCAUAUCUACCUUUUUUACUUUUCAGCUUAUGAUUGCCCCUGAAAUUUUGAACUGAGAUUUCAUCAAUGUCACUGAUUAAGGCAGUGGAGGUGGAGUUUUGAAUUUUGAUAUCGAUAGAAUAAAAAAGAGAAGCUCUUCGUACUGCCUUCGAGAAUUACAGGAAAUAUGGUAGGUUCUACGUUAUUAAUCCACGGAAGCGGAUCUGGAACCAAAUCUACUUUAUGUUGAUAUGUAAAUUAGCAGAGCUGUAUGAUUCAUCAAGGUUUACAGAGUUUAGUCAUGUUUAAGAAACCACACUUACGAGACUUUUUACCUUGGUCCAAAUCCGGCAAGUCUUAAUGAAUUACAUUAUCAGAGUUAUUGGGUUGAGUCUCUUGAAGGUAACAGUAGUUUUACAUACAGAGAUGUUGGAACAUGAAACUGCUGGAGCUGGUUGUAGCUGGAUACAAAGCAUACAUGUAAAUGUAUAUAUAUUGGAGAGGGAGAGAGUACAGUGAAGCUCAAACUGAAUAUUAUUUUGUACAGAAGGGUAUCUACAAAAUACCAUACAAGGCAGUAACAGGCUGAGACAUCCAGGAAAUUACAUACUGUCUUUGCUAAAAUCAGCCAUGUGCACUGUCCUUGGUGUAAAGCUAAUUAAAAUCUUAUUUACCCAUGAAUUUUGAUGGAGCA